AGGUGGUGAGCAAAGUACACUGGCAAAAGUACAGAGAUUGUGCUUGGAGACUGGGAUUAGGAGUACAUCGACUCCUAAAACUGUGAGUGAACUUAUUAUCGUCUUAAUUAUCUAGAGUAGUUUUAUUCAAUUGUGUGAUUUUAUGAAAAAUGGGUUUAAAUGGUAAAUUACUAUGUUUUAAGAGAAAUUACGAUUUUAUAAAAUGAUUUUAUAAAUUUUCUGAAAAAAUCGAAUACUGGUUUUGAAAAUAGAGUAAUUGGAGACUGCCUGCUUGUGUUGCAAAUUUAUGAUUUUGAAUUGAAUGGCUUAUGACAAUAAAUGAGCAUGAAUGGCUAAACUAAUUUUGGUGUUAGAAUUAUUUAUACUGUGUAUUCAGCCUUGAGAAGCUAGGUUGCGAUAAAUUACCAUGUCAUGCUAGAAUGAAUUUUAUUGAUUGGUGGAUUAUAUAUUAAUUAUUCACUACAGAGGGGGUUCCGUGGACCAGCCUAUUAGAGGGGCACGGUAAACUCCAGUAUAUUCUUACCCCGAACGGAGAGGCGCGUAGGGUAUCUCCUGGGGUAAAGCUUAGGGUUCACUUCACGCUAAACUACCACGUGAAGGGGAACUCAGCCAA
rnacentral:lncRNA from 1 species